UCCUCACUCCUAUCUGUCUGUCGAGAGAAAAUUGCAUAGGUGAAUAUAUCCUCGGCUGUAGCAGGAUCAAGCCCAAAGGAUAGGGGACAUAGCGUUUCCCCCUCCUGCUCCAUCACGCAGACUUAUUUUUAGUGGGUAGAGACUUUUCUGUUUUAUAAGUACCAGCAUGAGCAUGGUCAUGGAAAAGUUACAAAGGUAAAAUAAAUAAAACAAUAUGUUCAGGCAGAGACAGACUGCAGCAUGCCUGAGGGGAGGGGCUAGACUUUGGGGUUGUGGUUGGCCAUCAAAGCAGCUGCAAGCUGAAGGACUGUUAUCUCCUCCUCUCCUCUCACCCCACCCUGGAAGGGGGUGAGAAUGGAGUAGUGGGCACUGCCGGAGGGCAGUGUCCUGAAGCAGAUGCCACUGGGCAGGGAGCAACAUGGGUCUAAAACGAGCAGAGCAGACAAUGGGCGAGACACUACGCACAGAGGGCACUUCAUGGCUGUUGAGAGCUAAUUCCCAGACUGACCAGCAGGAGGCGUCGCGGUGAUCGCUGUAUGUUUUAGAAGCAGGAGUGAAAAGUGAAAUCAAAAUUCAGGUGGAAGUUGACUGUGUCCCUUUUAAGACAGUCUCUAAGCGGCUAAUAGCUUUAAAUCCAAAAGCAAGCCCAAAAGUGUCUUAAUGCAAAUUACCUGAUAAAAGAAGAAAAGAACUACCCAAAAACUGCAGCACAAAGAAGUCAAAUCAAAGGACAAGACGGGAGACAGGUAGAUCAGAGCACUAGUAGAAAUGCUGGCCCCUACCGACGCCCAUGCUUUAGGAAUACUGCUAGGAGGAUUCCAUUUUCUUAGACUACAUCUAUAAAUAUGCUAAAAUAACUCACCCAUUGUGGAAACGGCUUUUAAAAAAAAAAAGACAAAAUGGGAAUGGGGAAAAGAGCAGGACUCUGCUUUAACUCUGCUUCAACAGAAGGCCCUCACAGCCCCAGCCCUGUGUUUCCCUAAUGAACCACAGCCUUUUGUUAAAAAACAAAUGAAUGUUUGGCAGCUAAUAACACGGCCGUGGCUGCCACACUAUUACAAAAUAUUUAAAAAGAGAACCUUAAAAUGGGGGAAAGGGG